rnacentral:misc_RNA from 1 species
CUUCGUUCGGCUUUCAGUUUAUAGAUACCGUUCUGUGAAGUAACAUCGUGACGUGUGAGUUGAAUCUCAAACUUUUUUUUGUGCUUCUUGAACAAUAAGUGAUACAAUUAGUGAAUAGUUUUAAACUAUGAGAACUAUACGACAUCUUAGAAUAUAAUAAAACAUGGUUUAACUACGUUUUUCGCAGUUACAUAUUUUUUAAGGGGGCGAGAGUAUGGGAACGCAUCAUCGACUCGGCGGUGGCGGCGUGUAAAAACGGUGGACAAGGGAAGCAUGGGAAGAAAAGCGGGCGGUGGAAGAUUUGUGGUCGCGGGGGGGAGGAAGGGCUCCCAAGGAAUCGCGUUGGAGGAAGGGAAAAUUGUCGAUGCAGUUAGCGUUUGAGAGGCGGCCACGAUGGAAAACGCGGUGGUGAACGAUGGUGGACGAGUGGACGCUGCUUCUCAACAAGUGUCGUUGUUAAGAAGUUAAUCGCAGCCAUGUCGAACGAGACAAAUGCCACGGACGAUUUCCUCGAUUACGAUAUCAACGACUCGUUGAGCCACUUCGAUUGGGCGGAAUUGGGGCCUGUCCUCGUCGUGUACUCCCUCACGUUUUUCCUCGGAUUAAUCGGAAACGUCGUCAUCAUUGGUUCAACACUGUGCCCCAGACUGAGACCUUUACCAGCGACACCGACCAACGUUUUUCUAGGCGGUUUGGCAACUGCCGAUCUUUUGCUUAUUCUUUUUUGCAUUCCUGUCAAGGUGGCGAAGCUGUUCUCAUACACGUGGACUAUGGGCCUGUUUCUAUGCAAGUCGGUGCACUAUAUGCAGAGCGUCUCGGCUAUUUGCUCGGUCGUCACGUUAACCGCAAUGUCGAUCGAAAGAUAUUACGCCAUAGUUCACCCUAUGCGGGCCCAGUACACGUGCACGAUAAGCCAGGCUCGCAAAAUAGUAAUUACAACUUGGGUGGCGUCCUUCCUUCUCGGUAUACCAAUGAUCUUCACACAGACACACAAGGAAGUUGGAUUGAGGGUAAUCGCUUACUGGUGCGUCCGUGAUUCCGAAGGUGGACUUUUAUGGCGCGCCCACGAGGUUUAUAUGCUGGUGUUGGUCCUGGUCUUACCCCUAGCCGUGAUGGCGUAUUGUUACACGGCAAUUUGCUGGGAGAUUUGGCGAGUCAUGAAGCGGCGAUAUCACAUGACAUCACGCCGCGUAUUGAAUCCAAGUAACGUCGACGCAGAAUCCAUACCCAUGACCCAGAGGAAUAGCGUACGAAACAAUAAUCGUCGUUCUCAACGAGAGGACAAUCAAACCGAAGAAGAGUCUCGAACGAUAAGACAGUUGCAUAAAUCCAAUCGUUUAUGGAUUUAUGUCGAAACACUUCAGGGAGAGUUUCCUGGCCGCUGCCUGCGGCAGCUGGUGGAUCUGUUGUCCCCGGAGAGGGUACAGGGCGCCGGUGAAGAGGCAUCCGAGCCUAAGCCAGACAAGGACGACCAGUAUAAGGUGGACGCGAAACUCCUUCCAGGAGUCGAAGUAUCGAAACUCGAGCGACAACCAUCUCGUAGUACACCCUAGCGUGAAUUAAACAGUUUGGCAACGUAGGUCCACCAGCAUCCGAAAUAUCAAAUAUGCAGAGAUGGACUUGAUUAUUUCGUCGUGCCCGGCCCACGUCGAGGCAAUUGUGUCACAGGUAAAAAUCUGGUCGGCCAUUGAACUAUGCCAGAAGAGGCUAUAGAAAGAGGAAGAAAUCCUGUUCCUAAUGAGAAAGACGAUGCUACUUCGAGUUUAUCGUUGAAUAAUCAACGAAUUUCGAAACGAUUUUUCACCACUUUUUCGCCAAAUGUCGUAUUCCUCGAGCGUGAUAUGAUGCUGAAAGCUCAUAUUUGAAGGAAUAUAGACAGGAUUUUUUAAUCGUGAAAAACUGGAAUAUACCUGGAAUAUUAGAGUGAAAGAACGAAACUUUCAAAAUCUAAUAUUCGAUAAUAUUUAAAAAUCGUUUACGAAUCGAGAUGAAAAAGAGGAGAAAGAUUGUGAGGCUCGAAGAGGGUAAAAGCUCUUUCUCAAAUCUCUGAUUAAUUGUAAAACAAUGUAAUCUAUGUGUCUAUUUAUUUGUACAUACAUAAAUGUAUAUAUAUAUAAUAAUUUUCAUUAUCCGUUUCGUAAAACUGCAUGCAGAUCACCAUAUCGAGCAAAUAAAAGAAGAAACAAUAAAU